UGGGGAAUAUUGCACAAUGGGCGCAAGCCUGAUGCAGCCAUGCCGCGUGAAUGAUGAAGGCCUUAGGGUUGUAAAAUUCUUUCGCUAGGGAUGAUAAUGACAGUACCUAGUAAAGAAGCCCCGGCUAACUUCGUGCCAGCAGCCGCGGUAAUACGAAGGGGGCUAGCGUUGUUCGGAAUUACUGGGCGUAAAGCGCACGUAGGCGGACUUUUAAGUCAGAUGUGAAAUCCCAGAGCUCAACUCUGGAACUGCAUUUGAAACUGGGAGUCUAGAGAUCAGGAGAGGUUAGCGGAAUACCGAGUGUAGAGGUGAAAUUCGUAGAUAUUCGGUGGAACACCAGUGGCGAAGGCGGCUAACUGGACUGAUACUGACGCUGAGGUGCGAAAGUGUGGGGAGCAAACAGGAUUAGAUACCCCCGUAGUCC
rnacentral:rRNA from 1 species